rnacentral:rRNA from 1 species
UACGUAGGGGGCAAGCGUUAUCCGGAAUUACUGGGUGUAAAGGGAGCGUAGACGGUAAUGUAAGUCUGGAGUGAAAGGCGGGGGCCCAACCCCCGGACUGCUCUGGAAACUAUGUUACUAGAGUGCAGGAGAGGUAAGCGGAAUUCCUAGUGUAGCGGUGAAAUGCGUAGAUAUUAGGAGGAACACCAGUGGCGAAGGCGGCUUACUGGACUGUAACUGACGUUGAGGCUCGAAAGCGUGGGGGGCAAACAGG